rnacentral:tRNA from 1 species
AAUAAAAUGCCUGAUAAAAAGGACUAUUCUGAUAGAAUAAAUAAUAUAACUAAAAUUAUUUUUAUUA